rnacentral:rRNA from 1 species
GACGAACGCUGGCGGCGUGCCUAAUACAUGCAAGUAGAACGCUGAAGAGAGGAGCUUGCUCUUCUUGGAUGAGUUGCGAACGGGUGAGUAAAGCGUAGGUAACCUGCCUUGUAGCGGGGGAUAACUAUUGGAAACGAUAGCUAAUACCGCAUAACAAUGGAUGACACAUGUCAUUUAUUUGAAAGGGGCAAUUGCUCCACUACAAGAUGGACCUGCGUUGUAUUAGCUAGUAGGUGAGGUAAUGGCUCACCUAGGCGACGAUACAUAGCCGACCUGAGAGGGUGGUCGGCCCCCCUGGGACGGAGACACGGCCCAAACCCCUACGGGAGGCAGCAGUAGGGAAUCUUCGGCAAUGGGGGCAACCCUGACCGAGCAACGCCGCGGGAGUGAAGAAGGGUUUCGGAUCGUAAAGCUCUUUUGUAAGUCAAGAACGGGUGUGAGAGUGGAAAGUUCACACUGUGACGGUAGCUUACCAGAAAGGGACGGCUAACUACGUG